CCUAAUACAUGCAAGUCGAGCGGACCGACGGGAGCUUGCUCCCUUAGGUCAGCGGCGGACGGGUGAGUAACACGUGGGUAACCUGCCUGUAAGACUGGGAUAACUCCGGGAAACCGGGGCUAAUACCGGAUGCUUGAUUGAACCGCAUGGUUCAGUCAUAAAAGGUGGCUUUUAGCUACCACUUACAGAUGGACCCGCGGCGCAUUAGCUAGUUGGUGAGGUAACGGCUCACCAAGGCGACGAUGCGUAGCCGACCUGAGAGGGUGAUCGGCCACACUGGGACUGAGACACGGCCCAGACUCCUACGGGAGGCAGCAGUAGGGAAUCUUCCGCAAUGGACGAAAGUCUGACGGAGCAACGCCGCGUGAGUGAUGAAGGUUUUCGGAUCGUAAAACUCUGUUGUCAGGGAAGAACAAGUACGGUAGUAACUGCCCGUACCUUGACGGUACCUGGCCAGAAAGCCACGGCUAACUACGUGCCAGCAGCCGCGGUAAUACGUAGGUGGCAAGCGUUGUCCGGAAUUAUUGGGCGUAAAGCGCGCGCAGGCGGCCUUUUAAGUCUGAUGUGAAAGCCCCCGGCUCAACCGGGGAGGGUCAUUGGAAACUGGAAGGCUUGAGUGCAGAAGAGAAGAGCGGAAUUCCACGUGUAGCGGUGAAAUGCGUAGAGAUGUGGAGGAACACCAGUGGCGAAGGCGGCUCUUUGGUCUGU
rnacentral:rRNA from 1 species